CAAGCAAUACAAAAAACCUUGUUUUUCAACAAACUAAAUAGCAUUUUGUGGAUUUGGGUUCCUGAAACUCUAAUUUGCUAUAGAUUCUUCAGCGGCAAUAUCAAUAAUAGUGAAGAAAUUCAAGAAACCCUAAAAAAAGAAUCUUGAAAAAAAAAAGCCAAGUAAUUGGAAAGUAGAGCAGGCGAAGAUGAUGGAGGCUCCGAUUCACCAAUAGAUCUAUAACUAAUAAAUCAAAUCAAUGCAGCUCUCCAAAUUUGACAAACAAAGAAGA
rnacentral:lncRNA from 1 species